rnacentral:lncRNA from 1 species
AUGUCAAAAUUCUGCUUUUUUGUCACUAGUUAUCAGGGGAGAGCGCGAACGCAGUCCCCCACUACCACAAAUUAUGCAGUCGAGUUUCCCGCAUUUGGGGGAAAUCGCAGGGGUCAGCCCAUCCGGAGUGCAAUGGAUAAGCCUCGCCCUGGGGAAACCACCUUCGUGAUCAUGGAAUCACCCCUGCCAGGUAAGUAUGCUUUGCCGUCGCGCACGCCGGCACGCCCUCCACAGCCACACACCUUACGCACAGGACUACUAACACACCCACCCACGGUUAUGCAGACCGACAAACACAUCACACACACUCACAAGAUACAUUCUCCACAAACACCUCCCCCCACCAUUCUCACCGGGCCCCUCUCAUCCUGGAAAUACACCUUGACCGCAGGCACUAACGGCUUACACUAAACAAGGCCAGAAGUCUCCUUAUCUGCAUACCAUCAGCCUCUUCCUGACGUCACAAAACAACCCUGCCCAGAGUGACACUGCCAUCUAAUGCUCAGAAUUCCAGAAAGAAUCUGAAUGGAAUUUUUAAAAAUACCUGAAAGUCGAUGCACAUUAAACACUAUUUGAAUACAAAUAAUAUGGAGGGGCAGCUGGGUGGCUCAGGGCAUUGAGAGCCAGGCCUAGAGACAGGAAGUUCUGGGUUCAAAUAUGGCCUCAAACACUUCCCAGCUGUGUGACCCUGGGCAGGUCACUUAACCCCCAUUGCCUAGCCCUGACCACUCUUCUGCCUUGGAGUCAAUACACAUUGACUCGACGACAUUAAAGUUUAAAAAAAAAAAGAAAGAAAAUUAGACAUGACUGCAUGUUUGUGUGACACUUUGAAAGAGCAGAAAGCCCAGUGGACUUGCUGUCCCCAAACCACCACUGAAAUCUCCUCUGGGCCACUAACCACCUGUGCAAACUUGGGGUUUUACAUGGAAAAGUGAGAACCUUCUCCUAACAUGGUCCAAAAGAUCCUUUCCUGCUCAAGAUCCUACCACCUUGAUUCACACACACACACACACACACACACACACACACACACACACACACACACACAUGAAUGGAUCAGCCAUUCCCAUUUGAUGAGCAUUCUCUUGGUUUAUAGUUCUCUGCCACCACUCCCCCCAAAACCUGCUAUCAAUGCCUUUGUGCCUAAGAGUGCUUCCCUCCUUGAUCUCUUUUGAGCUGCAAGCCAGGGAAGGAUAUCAUCACUUCAUCCAAGAAUCUCAUGAGAUGGAGAAUUUGGGGAACUGCUGGAGCAGGCGCUAAUACCAUCAUUCUCUAAAUUCACCAUUAAUGUUGGGAGAAAAUGAAGCAUUCUUAAGUCACUGAAGAGUUCACAGGAGGAACACUAGAAUAGCAAGGACAUGCAAUCAUAGCUUCCCUGGAUGUGGUCCUACCAGCUUCCAUCAGAUGAGGU